GAACUCAAGGCCUAAAUUGCUCAUCCAGCUCUGGGUAAAAACACUUCCUUUGCGACAUGUUGUAUGUUACACAUGAUGAACUGGAUUUAGCUUAAAUGUGCAGUGUUCCCCAUGGACUCUACCCAAUAAACUCUUUUGUUUUAAUCAACCUAAACCAAAAUCAAGCACACAAGUGCUUCACCAAGCGUUUGAUUUUCUUCGUAUUUCGAUUUGGUGCAUUUUUUUCUCAAGUUUGAACAGCAGAACUUUGUCAAAAGUCGCUCACCUGGAGUGUCCUUUUUUUCCCCUUUUGUUUCCCAAGGGUAGUUGUUAUUUGGUGGCCGAUCGUGUUUUGUAGCUUUGUUUAAAUCAUAUAGCGACGUCUGUUCAAAUGUUGUGC
rnacentral:lncRNA from 1 species